GAUGAAGAACGUAGUGAAAUGCGAUAACUAAUGUGAAUUGCAGAAUUCCGUGAAUCAUCGAGUCUUUGAACGCACAUUGCGCCCCCUGGUAUUCCGGGGGGCAUGCCUGUCCGAGCGUCAUUGCUGCCCAUCAGCACGGCUUGUGUGUUGGGUCCUCGUCCCCCCCGGGGGACGUGCCCGAAAGGCAGCGGCGGCACCGCGUCCGGUCCUCGAGCGUAUGGGGCUUUGUCACCCGCUCUGCAGGCCCGGCCGGCGCUGGCCGACGCGAAAGCAACCAUUUUUUCUCCAGGUUGACCUCGGAUCAGGUAGGGAUACCCGCUGAACUUAAGCAUAUCAAUAAGCGGAGGA
rnacentral:misc_RNA from 1 species